GGCAAGAUGGCCGAGCGGUCUAAGGCGCCACGUUAAGGUUAACCCUUAUUCUCCUCUUCGAGUUCCGUGGUCCGAAAGGGCGUGGGUUCGAAUCCCACUCUUGUCA